UUUGAACUACGUAUAAGACAUUGGCUCGGAUGUAGGUUGUGCCUUUUAGUUGUCGAAGGAAGAAUUGUUCACUUCUCUCAUUGACUUCUCAAACACCGGUCUGGUCUGUUUCGCAAGUGUUCCCGGAAGUACCGCAAUGUUGCGCCUCUGGCUUUAGAAACUCUGUGUUAUCAAGGACUCCAUAUUAAUUUAUCCAUUGGAUUGGUCGAACAGUGCAAAAGAAAACCUCCCCCUACAGUUGUUUUCUCUCUCGUCAACACCAGUAUGCUGGCAAUCUAGUUUCAGACGUUUUUUAUUUUUUUACAUAAUUACAGUAAUGGGAGGAAAAUUGAGGGGAGGGCUUUAGGAUUUGUGUGACAGUUCAACAGCGCAAUCUCCGUAAAGGGCAGUCAGACGGCUGGGGGGCAAAAAAAAUCGUAGAACUGGUUCUCGUAAGAGCUCGCAAGAGGGUGUCAAAUACGGACAUUGCCCCCCCCCCCCCCCCCCCCCCCGGGAAUAUAGCAUUUACUGAUGAUGUUGGUGUCUUUGAAGAGUUUCUGCUGCCUCUCCAGCUUCUAGACAAGAUCAUCUCUGACAGUGCAACCUGUCCAGCAUUUGACAAAGGUCUUCUCAGCCAUAUUAUAACGAUAUGUAGCUAGCUACCAGCUACUAGCUACCAGCUACUAGCUACCAGCUACUAGCUACCAGCUACUAGCUACCAGCUACUAGCUACAUACUUUGUCAUUCUCUCAUUUGUGACUCAAAUCCCUAAACAGAUGCGAAGUGAACGAGUGCCAGACUUCGUGGGGAAAUGUCCAGACCGCAGCUCUUCACGUGAGACACAUCCAGAUUUGGGGUAACAUCUCCCAAUUGUCAUGCCCAGCUGUUCAGACCAGAGAUGGAUCAAGAGCUCAACCUCUGCCACUAUUUCGGCAGAGAACAGACAGUGGACUAAACUCCAGGGAUGUAUGGGGAUACAGGCGAGACUGGCAACUACAGACAGCUCCAGGCUGGACCUGUCUGUCCCCUCUCUCUCCUCUAUCCUCAUCGAUCUGUCCCCACCACUGCUUGUAGACGACGAUGAUAUCUGUCAAGUCGUGUCCUGUUAUUUUCAUAACUAGGGAUCGAACAGAACAUAUGUCGGUCGGCUAGUUGGUGGAAUCAUCCCCAGAAUUGGUUCCAUUUGCAUUUAAAGUUAUUCACAGACAUCUCGGUAGGUUUUUUUCCCUCCUGAAAUGGAGGAUCUCUGUUCUACUGCCUUCAGUAACCCAAUAAUCACCCUUUUGUCUGAACCAAGCAAUUUACCAUUAUAAUGAACAAAGUGUAGAUCUAGUUUCAGAUGUGCCGUGGACAGUGAGUUUGUUGUUGUUCUGAAAAGCCUCGUUCCCAACCUUCAAUAAUGGGAGUAAAACAUAGUAGAUGUUGCAAACUGCAUCAAAGAUCUUGUCGCCUCCUAAUGUCGCGUGUCAGACUUUACUGCUACAGAGUUGGUUUGUUCUAAUAUAUUAUACCAGACCUUGACUGAAAACCUACAGGACAGUAGAUCUCCAGGAAGAGGGUUGGACUGAAAACCUACAGGACAGUAGAUCUCCAGGAAGAGGGUUGGACUGAAAACAUACAGACAGUAGAUCUCCAGGAAGAGGGUUGGACUGAAAACCUACAGGACAGUAGAUCUCCAGGAAGAGGGUUGGGCUGAAACCCUACAAGACAGUAGAUCUCCAGGAAGAGGGUUGGACUGAAAACCUACAGGACAGUAGAUCUCCAGGAAGAGGGUUGGGCUGAAAACCCACAGGACAGUAGAUCUCCAGGAAGAGGGUUGGACUGAAAACCCUACAGGACAGUAGAUCUCCAGGAAGAGGGUUGGGCUGAAAACCCACAGGACAGUAGAUCUCCAGGAAGAAGGUUGGACUGAAACCCUACAAGACAGUAGAUCUCCAGGAAGAGGGUUGGGCUGAAACCCUACAAGACAGUAGAUCUCCAGGAAGAGGGCUGGGCUGAAAACCCACAGGACAGUAGAUCUCCAGGAAGAGGGUUGGACUGAAAACCUACAGGACAGUAGAUCUCCAGGAAGAGGGUUGGGCUGAAAACCCACAGGACAGUAGAUCUCCAGGAAGAGGGUUGGGCUGAAAACCCACAGGACAGUAGAUCUCCAGGAAGAGGGUUGGACUGAAAACCUACAGGACGGUAGAUCUCCAGGAAGAGGGUUGGACUGAAAACCUACAGGACAGUAGAUCUCCAGGAAGAGGGUUGGACUGAAAACCCUACAGGACAGUAGAUCUCCAGGAAGAGGGCUGGGCAGCCCUGUACCUUAUCAUACCAGGUUCUGAGCCUCUCGUCUGGCUCUGUGAGAUUAGUAGUUCCCUCCCUCUUAUGAUUGUUGAUCUGUGGUGGAAAUAUGUUGUUAUUGCUUUACCCCAUUGCCAUGUUUUGCACCAGGACAGUUGGUGCUUUUCUCUAUGAUAUUAACCAGUGUAAAGACAACAACAGUACACUAACCCAGGUCCUAGAGUUCGAGGCAAAUGAAUAUCGUCAUUUCCCUUCGACGAAGUAGGGACCAUAUAGCCCAACAUAACAUACUGUACCAAAAGUGAAAAGACGCAAUUCAUUCUUACACCAUAUUGAUUCAUUCUUACACCAUAUUGAUUCAUUCGUACACCAUAUUGAUUCAUUCUUACAUACACCAUAUUGAUUCAUUCUUACAUACACCAUAUUGAUUCAUUCUUACACCAUAUUGAUUCAUUCUUACACCAUAUUGAUUCAUUCUUACACCAUAUUGAUUCAUUCGUACACCAUAUUGAUUUAUUCUUACACCAUAUUGAUUCAUUCGUACACCAUAUUGAUUCAUUCGUACACCAUAUUGAUUCAUUCUUACAUACACCAUAUUGAUUCAUUCUUACACCAUAUUGAUUCAUUCGUACACCAUAUUGAUUCAUUCUUACACCAUAUUGAUUCAUUCGUACACCAUAUUGAUUCAUUUUUACAUACACCAUAUUGAUUCAUUCUUACAUACACCAUAUUGAUUCAUUCUUACAUACACCAUAUUGAUUCAUUCUUACAUACACCAUAUUGAUUCAUUCGUACACCAUAUUGAUUCAUUCUUACAUACACCAUAUUGAUUCAUUCUUACACCAUAUUGAUUCAUUCACUCUUACACCAUAUUGAUUCAUUCGAUAACCUUAUCAGAGUUUGUAUGAAUGGCACAGAGUCCCAGAUGAUGUUAUUUUAGUUAUAGGGCCGGGUUCCCAGACACACAGUCCUAGUUAUAGGGCCGGGUUCCCAGACACACAGUCCUAGUUAUAGGACCGGAUCCCCAGACACACAGUCCUAGUUAUAGGACCGGAUUCCCAGACACACAGUCCUAGUUAUAGGACCGGAUUCCCAGACACACAGUCCUAGUUAUAGGGCCGGAUUCCCAGACACACAGUCCUAGUUACAGGACCGGAUCCCCAGACACACAGUCCUAGUUAUAGGGCCGGGUUCCCAGACACACAGUCCUAGUUAUAGGACCGGAUCCCCAGACACACAGUCCUUGUUAUAGGACCGGAUCCCCAGACACACAGUCCUAGUUAUAGGGCCGGAUUCCCAGACACACAGUCCUAGUUAUAGGGCCGGCUUCCCAGACACACAGUCCUAGUUAUAGGACCGGAUCCCCAGACACACAGUCCUAGUUAUAGGGCCGGGUUCCCAGACACACAGUCCUAGUUAUAGGGCCGGGUUCCCAGACACACAGUCCUAGUUAUAGGACCGGAUCCCCAGACACACAGUCCUAGUUAUAGGACCGGAUCCCCAGACACACAGUCCUAGUUAUAGGACCGGGUUCCCAGACACACAGUCCUAGUUAUAGGGCCGGGUUCCCAGACACACAGUCCUAGUUAUAGGACCGGAUCCCCAGACACACAGUCCUAGUUAUAGGACCGGAUCCCCAGACACACAGUCCUAGUUAUAGGACCGGAUCCCCAGACACACAGUCCUAGUUAUAGGACCGGAUCCCCAGACACACAGUCCUAGUUAUAGGACCGGAUCCCCAGACACACAGUCCUAGUUAUAGGACCGGAUCCCCAGACACACAGUCCUUGUCGAGGAGAUGUUCCAUUGAAAAAGUGUUUUAGAUGCAGGUAACCUAGUGAUUAGAGCAUUGGACUAGUAACCUAAAGGUUGCUGGAUCGAAUCCCAGAGUUGACCAGGUAAAAAUCUCUCGUUCUGCCUUUGAACAAGGCAGUUAACCCACUGUUCCCCGGUAGGCCGUCAUUGUAAAUAAGAAUUUGUUCUUAACUGACUUGCCUAGUUAAACAAAUUGAAAUUGUCCAGAAUUAGGCUUAAUCUGUAUCUGGGAAACAGGCCCUUAGGGUAGAUUUAUGUGUUGUACCCAUAGAGUUAGAUUUAUAGAGUUAGGUAGAUUUAUAUGUUGUACCCAUAGAGUUAGGUAGAUUUAUAUGUUGUACCCAUAGAGUUAGGUAGAUGUAUGUGUUGAGCCCAUAGAGUUAGGUAGGUUUAUGUGUUGUGCCCAUAGAGUUAGGUAGAUGUAUGUGUUGUACCCAUAGAGUUAGGUAGAUUUAUAUGUUGUACCCAUAGAGUUAGGUAGAUUUAUAUGUUGUACCCAUAGAGUUAGGUAGAUGUAUGUGUUGAGCCCAUAGAGUUAGGUAGAUUUAUGUGUUGAGCCCAUAGAGUUAGGUAGAUUUAUGUGUUGAGCCCAUAGAGUUAGGUAGAUGUAUGUGUUGAGCCCAUAGAGUUAGGUAGGUUUAUGUGUUGUGCCCAUAGAGUUAGGUAGAUGUAUGUGUUGUACCCAUAGAGUUAGGUAGGUUUAUGUGUUGAGCCCAUAGAGUUAGGUAGAUUUAUGUGUUGAGCCCAUAGAGUUAGGUAGAUUUAUAUAUUGAGCCCAUAGAGUUAGGUAGAUGUAUGUGUUGUACCCAUAGAGUUAGGUAGGUUUAUGUGUUGAGCCCAUAGAGUUAGGUAGGUUUAUGUGUUGAGCCCAUAGAGUUAGGUAGAUGUAUGUGUUGAGCCCAUAGAGUUAGGUAGAUGUAUGUGUUGAUCCCAUAGAGUUAGGUAGGUUUAUGUGUUGAGCCCAUAGAGUUAGGUAGAUGUAUGUGUUGAGCCCAUAGAGUUAGGUAGAUGUAUGUGUUGAGCCCAUAGAGUUAGGUAGAUGUAUGUGUUGAGCCCAUAGAGUUAGGUAGAUGUAUGUGUUGAGCCCAUAGAGUUAGGUAGAUGUAUGUGUUGAGCCCAUAGAGUUAGGUAGAUGUAUGUGUUGAGCCCAUAGAGUUAGGUAGAUGUAUGUGUUGAUCCCAUAGAGUUAGGUAGAUGUAUGUGUUGAUCCCAUAGAGUUAGGUAGAUGUAUGUGUUGAGCCCCAUAGAGUUAGGUAGAUGUAUGUGUUGAGCCCCAUAGAGUUAGGUAGAUGUAUGUGUUGAGCCCCAUAGAGUUAGGUAGAUGUAUGUGUUGAGCCCCAGGCAACAUUUUCUAUUUCAUUAAGGGACUUUUUCUUUUCAUUUGUGGUCCACCACCUUCACUCCUUCCGGGAUAUGUGCAAUAUGGUAUCUUAUUACCUGUCAUGAUGUAGAUAUGAAUGUAAUAUUGUAUGAACAAGUGACACGUUGUUUGAAAACAACAAAAUUACCAACGUCUUCCAUUAAGAAAUAUUUAUAGUCUUCAUAUGCAUUAGCUUGUUUAGAGGGACUGUGGUGCCAAUAUUAUAACUAACCAUGCAUGAAGGGUUGCUGGUGUUACUUGCUUUUUGAAUAACCAAAAGGUUGCGAGGUCAAAUCCCCGAGCUGACAAGGUACAAAUCUGUCGUUCUGCCCCCUGAACAAGGCAGUUAACCCACUGUUCGCCUGAACAAAGCAGUUAACCCACUGUUCCCCUGAACAAGGCAGUUAACCCACUGUUCCCCUGAACAAGGCAGUUAACCCACUGUUCCCCUGAACAAGGCAGUUAACCCACUGUUCCCCUGAGCAAGGCAGUUAACCCACUGUUCCCCUGAACAAGGCAGUUAACCCCCUGAACAAGGCAGUUAACCCACUGUUCCCCUGAACAAGGCAGUUAACCCACUGUUCCCCUGAACAAGGCAGUUAACCCACUGUUCCCCUGAACAAGGCAGUUAACCCACUGUUCCCCUGAACAAGGCAGUUAACCCACUGUUCCCCUGAACAGGCAGUUAACCCACUGUUCCCCUGAACAAGGCAGUUAACCCACUGUUCCCCUGAACAAGGCAGUUAACCCACUGUUCCCCUGAACAAGGCAGUUAACCCACUGUUCCCCUGAACAAGGCAGUUAACCCACUGUUCCCCUGAACAAGGCAGUUAACCCACUGUUCCCCUGAACAAGGCAGUUAACCCACUGUUCCCCUGAACAGGCAGUUAACCCACUGUUCCCCUGAACAAGGCAGUUAACCCACUGUUCCCCUGAACAAGGCAGUUAACCCACUGUUCCCCUGAACAAGGCAGUUAACCCACUGUUCCCCUGAACAAGGCAGUUAACCCACUGUUCCCCUGAACAAGGCAGUUAACCCACUGUUCCCCUGAACAAGGCAGUUAACCCACUGUUCCCCUGAACAAGGCAGUUAACCCACUGUUCCCCUGAACAAGGCAGUUAACCCACUGUUCCCCUGAACAAGGCAGUUAACCCACUGUUCCCCUGAACAAGACAGUUAACCCACUGUUCCCCUGAACAAGGCAGUUAACCCACUGUUCCCCUGAACAAGGCAGUUAACCCACUGUUCCCCUGAACAAGACAGUUAACCCACUGUUCCCCUGAACAAGGCAGUUAACCCACUGUUCCCCUGAACAAGACAGUUAACCCACUGUUCCCCUGAACAAGGCAGUUAACCCACUGUUCCCCUGAACAAGGCAGUUAACCCACUGUUCCCCUGAACAAGACAGUUAACCCACUGUUCCCCUGAACAAGGCAGUUAACCCACUGUUCCCCUGAACAAGGCAGUUAACCCACUGUUCCCCUGAACAAGGCAGUUAACCCACUGUUCCCCUGAACAAGGCAGUUAACCCACUGUUCCCCUGAACAAGACAGUUAACCCACUGUUCCUAGGUCGUCAUUGUAAAAUAACAAUUUGUUUCUCAACUGACUUGCCGAGUUUUAAAAGAAAUAAGGAAACAUUGUUUUCUAAAAACAGAACAUGUUUGGGAGAUUUGAUUCAAUUGUUAAAUUCUAUUCAGAGUGAAUUUCACCACAGAUAUACAGUUAUCUAUUACUAUCUAUCUAUUACUAUCUAAACUGUAUUUUAUGGAAUUAACAUCUUUAGAAUCAGACAUAUUGACAUCCAGUGUGUUUACACAGGCAGCCCAAUUCUGAUCUUUUUUUUCCACUAAUUGGUCUUUUUGACCAAUCAGAUCGGCUCUUUUGCCACUAAUUGGUAUUUUUGGCCAAUCAGAUCUUCUCUUUUGCCAAUAAUUAGACAACAUAUUAGAGUUGUGCUUCCAGUGGAAACAGCCUUGAUCAAUAAAAUUACGAUCUAGAAUAUGAGAAUAUAUUUAGUUAAAAAGCAAGGCAUCUAGACAUUUCAGAAGAAAAUAAAAAAAUUCUGCACGAUUUUCAGUUUAUUUGAUCUAUUGUAAUCUCUGUUUUUAAAGGAAUGUUUAGCAUAUUAGUAGCUAUAUAAUUGAAUGUUUUUUUUUGUUUAGAGGGAAGACUAUGGUGUAUACUGUGGUUUAGGAGGAUGUAUGUUCCUCAUAAGAAACACCCAACAGUGCGUGAAGUACCACAUGUUGAAACAGAACAACUGACAUUUGAAUUGGCAAAACGGUCUUCUGGGGAAAUUCAAUAUUCAAGCUACGUUCCCUAUGGUACUAGUGCAUAACUUUUUGACCUGGGGGAGGGGGGGGGGCAUAGGGCUCUGGUACAAAGUAGUGCACUAUGUAGGGAAUAGGGUGUCAUUUUUGGAAGUAGCCUCAGACUCGUACAGUAUCAUUCUGUAAGAACUAAGAACCCACUGAUUUAGGAGGCCUGUGUUGAUGCCUCUUUUUACGGUUUACAUUCUGUUCAAAUGUUGCACCGUUGUCCAUAUCAAUCGAACUAUGUAUGCAUGUGAAUUAUUAUGCAUCCUUCCUAUUUAAUUGAACGUAAUAGAGCUGCCUCAAGGAGAGACGACUGAACAAAAAAAUAUAAAUAAUAAUAAUUAUGCUGUAACCCUUUCUUGACCUGUGUGAACUAAUUCACUUCCUGUGUGAACUAAUUCACUUCCUGUGUGAACUAAUUCACUUCCUGUGUGAACUAAUUCACUUCCUUGUGUGAACUAAUUCACUUCCUGUGUGAACUAAUUCACUUCCUGUGUGAACUAAUUCACUUCCUGUGUGAACUAAUUCACUUCCUUGUGUGAACUAAUUCACUUCCUGUGUGAACUAAUUCACUUCCUUGUGUGAACUAAUUCACUUCCUGUGUGAACUAAUUCACUUCCUGUGUGAACUAAUUCACUUCCUGUGUGAUCUAAUUCACUACCAUCAUCCUGUCUUGAAUACUGUGUUUAAAAAAUAUAUAUUAAAACAACUGUAACGCUACACAAUGUAGCAAUGCUUAGGAUAGGUAAAUCUAGAAUGUAUCGAUCAUUUAAAACUAUUAAAUGCGAGGAGAAAAUAUUAUGCAUGACUUAAAGUAAUCAAUGAUUUGUAUCGCGGGCAAUAAUCAACUUGGUAAUUUGCGUUGAUCAUUAGAUCUGUGAUACUGAAAGGUUGAUUUUGUGGCGCUGUGAUAUAAGGUAGUAAUACGUUUUACAGGUCUUGAAUAAGGGGAUGGUUGUUGACAUCACCCUGAGCACAUUGUUUUGAUAAAAAGAAUGUACGAUGUUGAUCAACAGCCUGAAAUCCAGGCUGUUUGCGCUAUCAUUCUACUAUCAUUCUACUAUCAUUCUACUAUCAUUCUAAUGACAAGGAGUGGCAUGAUGGCCCAAAAGACUGGAUUUCAGGCUGUUGAUCCAAGUAUUACUAGUAAACAAACAGAAUGAGUUGACUGUGCGUUGUGGUGUGACUAUGCACUCCAGCGAGAGGCCCUGGGGCAUGCUGGAGCAACGGAGUCUCCCGUCUCGGUUGUGGAUUAACUGAAGAAAUCUGCAUCAGAAAUGUAGCAAUAAAUAAAUAAAUAAAAAGCAGCAUGGUGCCAAUGAC